rnacentral:rRNA from 1 species
CCUACGGGAGGCAGCAGUGAGGAAUAUUGGUCAAUGGACGAGAGUCUGAACCAGCCAAGUAGCGUGAAGGAUGACUGCCCUAUGGGUUGUAAACUUCUUUUAUAUGGGAAUAAAAUGUUCCACGUGUGGGCUUUUGUAUGUACCAUAUGAAUAAGGAUCGGCUAACUCCGUGCCAGCAGCCGCGGUAAUACGGAGGAUCCGAGCGUUAUCCGGAUUUAUUGGGUUUAAAGGGAGCGUAGGUGGAUUGUUAAGUCAGUUGUGAAAGUUUGGGGCUCAACCGUAAAAUUGCAGUUGAAACUGGCAGUCUUGAGUACAGUAGAGGUGGGCGGAAUUCGUGGUGUAGCGGUGAAAUGCUUAGAUAUCACGAAGAACUCCGAUUGCGAAGGCAGCUCACUGGACUGCAACUGACACUGAGGCUCGAAAGUGUGGGUAUCAAACAGGAUUAGAUACCCGUGUAGUC